rnacentral:rRNA from 1 species
ACUCCUACGGGAGGCAGCAGUGGGGAAUAUUGCACAAUGGGCGCAAGCCUGAUCCAGCCAUACCGCGUGGGUGAAGAAGGCCUUCGGGUUGUAAAGCCCUUUUGUUGGGAAAGAAAUCCAGCUGGCUAAUACCCGGUUGGGAUGACGGUACCCAAAGAAUAAGCACCGGCUAACUUCGUGCCAGCAGCCGCGGUAAUACCAAGGGUGCAAGCGUUACUCGGAAUUACUGGGCGUAAAGCGUGCGUAGGUGGUCGUUUAAGUCCGUUGGGAAAGCCCUGGGCUCAACCUGGGAACUGCAGUGGAUACUGGGCGACUAGAAUGUGGUAGAGGGAAGCGGAAUUCCUGGUGUAACAUUGAAAUGCGUAGAGAUCAGGAGGAACAUCCAUGGCGAAGGCAGCUACCUGGACCAACAUUGACACUGAGGCACGAAAGCGUGGGGAGCAAACAGGAUUAGAUACCCUGGUAGUCCACGCCCUAAACGAUGCGAACUGGAUGUUGGGUGCAAUUUGUCACGCAGUAUCGAAGCUAACGCGUUAAGUUCGCCGCCUGGGGAGUACGGUCGCAUGACUGAUACUAAAAGGAAUUGACGG